AUCUAUUGCCGGCAUAUCUAUUUAUCUGGCAACAUUGCCACCGUUACAUUGAUCAGAGAGUUUUGAUUACGUUGAUAGUUUUUGUUUCUCUGUUCACUCAUUUCUAUUUCUUAGUGAUGAUAUCGUCAUUGUUGUCAUUGAUGGUGCAAUAAUUUUUAGCAAUAUUAUUUUGAUUUUUCAUUUGACUUACAAAACUUAAAUAUUAAAUAUAAUACUCAAUUUCAGUCACAUACACUUAAAUAUUACUAAUAUUCAAGUUCAU
rnacentral:lncRNA from 1 species